rnacentral:tRNA from 1 species
AAGGGUAUAGCUCAGUGGUAGAAUGACUGCUUAGCAUGCAUGAGGUCCUGGGUUCAAUCCCCAGUACCUCCA